GCGAGGAUGUCAGAGUCUGGUCAAAUGAGUACGCUUCAGAGGCGUAUGGCUUAGUGCCUGCGAAGGUUCAAAUCCUUCUCCUCGCA
rnacentral:tRNA from 1 species